CAGCCGCCGCGGUAAUACGUAGGUGGCAAGCGUUGUCCGGAUUUAUUGGGCGUAAAGCGAGCGCAGGCGGUUCCUUAAGUCUGAUGUGAAAGCCCCCGGCUCAACCGGGGAGGGUCAUUGGAAACUGGGGAACUUGAGUGCAGAAGAGGAGAGUGGAAUUCCACGUGUAGCGGUGAAAUGCGUAGAGAUGUGGAGGAACACCAGUGGCGAAGGCGACUCUCUGGUCUGUAACUGACGCUGAGGAGCGAAAGCGUGGGGAGCGAACAGGAUUAGAUACCCGCGUAGUCCCUGUCUCUUAUAC
rnacentral:rRNA from 1 species